rnacentral:lncRNA from 1 species
AUGCCUUUCCUUCCGGAGGCGGGGGCGGCGGGGCGCGCCGUGGCCCUGGCCCUGGUGCUGCUGCUCCCCGCAAUGCCCACGGGCGCUGGCGCCCUGCUCCGCCUGCAACCCGGCAUGCCCCACGUGUGUGCGGAGCAGGAACUGACCCUGGUGGGCCGCCGCCAGCCCUGUGUGCGGGCCUUCAGCCGCACAGUGCCCGUGUGGAGGCCGGGUUGUGGGCGGCAGGCCUGGUGUGUCAGCCAUGAGCGCAGAACCAUCUACUACACCGGCUACAGGCAGGUGUACUCCACGGAGGCCCAGACGGUGUUCCGGUGCUGCCCGGGGUGGAGCCAGCAGCCAGGGAGCCAGGGCUGCCUCUCCCCUGUGUGCAGCUCCGGCCUCUGCUUUAACGGCGGCCACUGCGUGUCCGGCUCAGCCCAGCCGUGCCGCUGUCCCCCUGGCUUCCAGGGUCCUCGCUGUCAGCAUGAUGUGAACGAGUGUGCCACUGGCAAUGCAGGCUGUGAGGGUGAGUGUCGCAACACCGUGGGGGGCUUCUACUGCCGCUGCCCGCCCGGCCACCAGCUGCAGGGAGAUGGCAAGACCUGCCGAGACGUGGACGAGUGCCAGGUGCACAAUGGUGGCUGCCAGCACCGGUGUGUGAACACCCCAGGCUCCUACUUCUGCGAGUGCAAGCCCGGCUUCCGUCUCCACGCGGACGGCAGGACCUGCCUGGCCAUCAACUCCUGCACCGUGGGCAACGGUGGCUGCCAGCACAACUGCGUCCAGCUCACAGUGACCCAGCACCGCUGCCAAUGCCGGCCCGAGUUCCAGCUCCAGGAGGAUGGCAGGCGCUGCGUCCGGAGAAACCCGUGCGCGGACAGGAACGGCGGCUGCAUGCACAGGUGCCGGGCGCUCCGGGGCCUUGCCCACUGCGAGUGCCACGCGGGCUACCAGCUGGCAGUGGACCGCAAGGCCUGCGAAGAUGUGGAUGAAUGUGCCACAGGCCUGGCCCAGUGUGCGCAUGGCUGCCUCAACACGCACGGCUCCUUCAAGUGUGUGUGCAAUGCGGGCUACGAGCUGGGUGCUGAUGGCCGGCAGUGCUACCGGAUCGAGAUGGAGAUAGUGAACAGCUGUGAGGCGGACAAUGGCGGCUGCUCCCACGGCUGCAGCCACAGCAGUGCGGGCCCCGUCUGCACCUGCCCCCGUGGCUACGAGCUGGACGAGGACCAGAGGACAUGUAUCGACGUCGACGACUGUGCCGCCUCCCCGUGCUGCCAGCAGGUUUGCACCAAUAGCCCCGGUGGUUACGAGUGCAGCUGCUAUGCCGGCUACCGGCUCAGUGCGGAUGGCUGCGGGUGUGAGGACGUGGACGAGUGCGCCUCCGGCCACAGCGGCUGCGAACACCACUGUGCCAACCUGGCCGGCUCCUUCCAGUGCUCCUGUGAGGCCGGCUACCAGCUGGACGAGGACCGCAGGGGUUGCACCUCCCUGGAGCUGCCCGAGCUGGUCCUGGACGGCCACCUGCCCCUCGGGCGGCCCCCUCUGCACAUUGCGGUGCUCCAGGACCAGCUGCCCCCUCUCUUCCAAGACGACUACGCCGGGGCUGAGGAGGAAGAGGCUGAGGCACGGGGCGAACACACGCUGCAGGAAAAGUAUGUCUGCCUGGACAACACCUUUGGCCCAGACUGCAGCUUGACUUGUGAUGACUGCAGGAAUGGGGGAACCUGCCUCCCCAGCCUGGACAGCUGUGACUGCCCUGAUGGCUGGACCGGGCUCGUCUGCAACGAGACUUGUCCUCUGGACACCUUCGGAAAGAACUGCAGCUUCUCCUGCAGCUGUCAGAACGGCGGGACCUGUGACCCUGUGACGGGGGCCUGCCGCUGCCCCCCAGGGGUCAGUGGAGCCCACUGUGAGGACGGCUGCCCCAAAGGCUUCUAUGGCAAGCACUGCCGUAAGAAGUGCCACUGUGCCAGCCGGGGCCGCUGCCACCGCCUCUACGGGGCCUGCCUCUGUGACCCGGGGCUCUACGGCCGCUUCUGCCACCUGGCCUGCCCGCCGUGGGCCUUUGGGCCAGGCUGCUCAGAGGAGUGCAAGUGUGAGCAGCAGAAUACACGUGCGUGCGAUAAGAGGGAUGGCAGCUGUGCCUGCAAGGCGGGCUUUGGGGGCGAGUGGUGCCAGGACGAGUGCCAGCCAGGGUUCUUUGGGCCAGGGUGCCGGCAGACGUGCACCUGCCCCCUGGGCGUGGCCUGCGACCCUGUCAGCGGCGAGUGUGGGAAGCAGUGUCCCGCUGGCUACCACGGGGAGGACUGCAGCCAAGAGUGCCCGGCGGAGACGUUUGGCCAGAACUGCUCAGGCUCCUGCUCCUGUGGGGGCGCCCCCUGUGACCGGGUCACAGGGCAGUGUCUGUGCCCGCCGGGGAGGACCGGGGAUGACUGUGGGGCAGAUUGUCCCGAGGGCCGCUGGGGGCUUGGCUGCCAGGAGAUCUGCCCGCCAUGUGAGCACGGUGCCGCCUGUGUGCCGGAGACUGGAGCCUGCCUGUGCCGCCCCGGCUUCAUGGGCAGCCGCUGCCAGGAUGCCUGCCCUGCUGGCUGGUUUGGACCUGGUUGCCAGACGCGGUGCUCCUGUGCCAACGAUGGGCUCUGCCACCCAGUGACCGGCCGGUGCAGCUGUGCCCCUGGGUGGACCGGCCUCAGCUGCCAGAGAGCCUGUGACAGCGGCCGCUGGGGACCCGACUGCAGCUACGCCUGCAACUGCAGUGCAGGUCAUGGGGGCUGCGACGCCGUCAGCGGCCUGUGUGUGUGUGAAGCCGGCUAUGUGGGCCCGCGGUGUGAGGAGCGGUGUCCCCAGGGCUACUUCGGGCCGGGCUGUGGGCGGCGAUGCCAGUGUGAGCACGGGGCGGCCUGUGACCACGUCAGCGGGGCCUGCACCUGCCCUGCCGGCUGGAGGGGCACCUUCUGUGAGCGAGCCUGCCCAGCCGGCUUCUUUGGAAUGGACUGUGGCCGUGCCUGUGACUGCAGUGCCGGAGUCCCCUGUGAUCCCGUGAGCGGCUCCUGCCUCUGUCCUGCCGGCCGCCAGGGCCCCCGCUGUGCCCAGACCUGCCCAGCCCACACGUUCGGCCACAACUGCAGCCAGGCCUGCUCCUGCUUUAAUGGGGCCUCCUGUGACCCUGUCCAUGGGCAGUGCCGCUGUGGCCCUGGCUGGACAGGGCCCACCUGCCUGCAGGCCUGCCCAGAGGGCCUCUAUGGUGAGGACUGUCAGCUCUCCUGCCUGUGCCGGAACGGGGGCACCUGUGACCCAGUCUCAGGUCACUGCACCUGCCCAGGGGGCUGGGCCGGCCUGGCCUGUGAGAAGGAGUGCCUCCCCGGGGUCUUUGAAGCUGGCUGCCCGCAGAGCUGCGGGUGCCUGAAUAGCGGCCUCUGUGAUCCGCACACCGGCCACUGCCUCUGCCCAGCCGGCUGGACUGGGGACAAGUGCCAGAGCCCCUGUCCCGAGGGCACCUUUGGGGCCCGCUGUGAGGAGCGCUGCGCUUGCCGGUGGGGGGCCGCCUGCCACACCGUCACCGGGGCCUGCCUCUGCCCCCCGGGGUGGAGGGGCUCGCGGUGUGAGAGCGGGUGCCCGCCAGGGCGGUUCGGGCCUGGCUGCGAGCUGCUGUGUGGGUGUCUCAACGGGGGCUCCUGUGACGCGGUCACCGGGGCCUGCCGCUGCCCCGCCGGAUUCCUUGGGACUGACUGCGGCCUCGCCUGUCCACACGGCCACUUUGGCCCUGGCUGUGCCCACGUGUGCAGGUGUGGGCGGGGGGCAGCCUGUGACCCCGUGACCGGCAGCUGCUCCUGCCCACCUGGGAGGACCGGCGUCUACUGCGAGCAUGGCUGCCCCCAGAAUCAGUUUGGUGUGAACUGUGAGCAUGCGUGCUCCUGCAGGAAUGGGGGCCUGUGUCAUGCCACCAACGGCAGCUGUUCCUGUGGCCUGGGCUGGACAGGGCCACACUGCGAGCUGGCCUGCCCCGCUGGGCGCUAUGGUGCUGCCUGCAGCCUCGAGUGCUCCUGCCACAACCACGGGACCUGUGAGCCCACGUCGGGGGCCUGUCGCUGCAGCCCCGGCUUCUAUGGCCAAGCCUGCGAGCACCCCUGUCCCCCCGGCUUCCAUGGGGCUGGCUGCCAGCAGACGUGCCAGUGUCAGCAUGGCGCCCCCUGCGACCCCGUCAGCGGCCGGUGCCUCUGCCCUGCUGGCCUCCAUGGCCAGUUCUGCGAGUGGGGGUGUGAGCCGGGCUCGUUCGGAGAGGGCUGCGGCCAGCAAUGUGACUGCGAGCUUGGGGUGCCCUGCAACCCCAUCACCGGCCACUGUCUGUGCCCCCCUGGGCGCACAGGGACCACCUGUGACCUGGGCUGCAGGAGGGGCUUCUUCGGGCCGGGCUGUGCUCUGCACUGCUCCUGCGGGGGUGGAGCCGACUGCGACCCUGUCAGCGGGCAGUGCCUCUGCGUGGACGGCUACACAGGGCCCAUGUGCCGGCAGGGUGGACCCUCCCAGCUCCCGGAGAGCCCAUCUCCAGCCCUGGGCCCAGUGGCCCUACAACCAGCCUCCCACCAGACCUGGGCUCAGCAGCAGCCUAGAGAAGCACUAGCUCAGGGGCAGCCCCCGCUGAGGCUUGGCUCCCAGGGGCCACUGAGGGGACCUGGGGGCUUUGGUGUCCACUGAGGAGGGACGUGCGGGGGCCAGGACUCCGGCCCCACCCUGGUCUCCGAGGCCUGUGGACAGUGGCGCAGCCUUCCACUCUGCAAGGAUCUUCUGACCAGGAGGAUGGAGGCCCUGCCUGGCCCGCCCUGAGGAUCAUAGUGUGGAGGAAGCCGCACCUGCCAUGCCCCCGGGGUGAGACUGCAGGCAGGUGUGGGGGCAGGUGUGGGCCUGGGGCCCUUCCUUGGAGCAAGUUCUUCUGGUGCUAGGCCUGGGACUGCUGCAGUUCAGUCUGUUUACCUGGAAACAGAUGCUGGUGCUAGGCUGGGCCAUAUUUAUGGAAGGUAUUUAUGGGCAGCCAGACCCUGGGCACUGAAGGGCUGCCUGCCUGCUGCUCGACCUGGGAGGCCUUGACUCAGGCCUCUGGGUGGGGCUUCGGUACCCUGUGAAACCCAGUAAGUUA